CCUACGGGAGGCAACAGUGAGGAAUAUUGGUCAAUGGACGAGAGCCUGAACCAGCCAAGCAGCGUGAAGGAUGACUGCCCUAUGGGUUGUAAACUUCUUUUAUAUGGGAAUAAAUUGUUCCAAGUGUGGGAUUUUGUAUGUACCAUAUGAAUAAGGAUCGGCUAACUACGUGCCAGCAGCCGCGGUAAUACGGAGGAUCCGAGCGUUAUCCGGAUUUAUUGGGUUUAAAGGGAGCGUAGGUGGAUUGUUAAGUCAGUUGUGAAAGUUUGCGGCUCAACCGUAAAAUUGCAGUUGAAACUGGCAGUCUUGAGUACAGUAGAGGUGGGCGGAAUGCGUGGUGUAGCGGUGAAAUGCUUAGAUAUCACGAAGAACUCCGAUUGCGAAGGCAGUUCACUGGACUGCAACUGACACUGAGGCUCGAAAGUGUGGGUAUCAAACAGGAUUAGAUACCCCUGUAGUC
rnacentral:rRNA from 1 species